GCCCUUACGUCCAGGGCUACACACGUGCUACAAUGGUAGAGACAGAGGGCAGCCAUCCGGUGACGGAGAGCUAAUCCUUAAACUCUAUCUCAGUUCGGAUUGAAGUCUGCAACUCGACUUCAUGAAGCUGGAAUCGCUAGUAAUCGGAUAUCAGCCAUGAUCCGGUGAAUACGUUCCCGGGCCUUGUACACACCGCCCGUCAAGCCAUGGAAGCUGAGGGUACCUGAAGUCGGUAACCGCAAGGAGCUGCCUAGGGUAAAAUUGGUAACUGGGGCUAAGUCGGAACAAGGUAGCCGUACCGGAAGGUGCGGCUGGAACACCUC
rnacentral:rRNA from 18 species